UACGUAGGGUGCGAGCGUUGUUCGGAAUUACUGGGCGUAAAGCGCACGUAGGCGGAUAUUUAAGUCAGGGGUGAAAUCCCAGAGCUCAACUCUGGAACUGCCUUUGAUACUGGGUAUCUUGAGUAUGGAAGAGGUAAGUGGAAUUGCGAGUGUAGAGGUGAAAAUUCGUAGAUAUUCGCAAGAACACCAGUGGCGAAGGCGGCUCACUGGCCCGAUAACUGACGCUGAGGCGCGAGAGACGUGGGGAGCAACGGG
rnacentral:rRNA from 1 species